ensembl:lncRNA
GAGCCAGACGAGGAUUAAUAGAAUGGUUUACGGUCGCUGGGGAGGCAUUGGGAGGAGGAUUCGGUGGCGUGGCGUCUGCUGAUACCCGUAGCCCGUGUAGUGCGUGCACUAGUUCCUCGGUGAGGGUGGUCAGACGCUGUAGCUGAUGGUGGUGCUGGGCCAGCUGGGUGGCUUGAGCGGAGAGCUCCGAAGACAGGUGUACGAGGCCUGCUGGAUCUGUGAGCGGCGAAGUCUUCUGUAAGGGGACGCCGGAUUCGGAGGGAUCCAUUCGUAGGUUUUUAUUAGAGCAUCAGACAGGCAGAGUCAAUGACAGCAGACAGGGCAACGUAGAGCAGACAGGAUCGUAGUCAGCGGGCAGGCAGGGGUCGGGGCAGGCAGAGAGCAAUCAGCAGUACGGUCCGGGGUCACUAAACAGGGAUCAAGACUAGGAGAAAACGCUCAGAAGUGACAGCCGGGGCAGAAUCAAGACUUCGCAGUGAGUGUGUGGGUGUCAGUGGCUUUUGUGUGUGUGUCAAUGAGGUGCAGGUGUGUGUGUCAUCAGUGGUGUUGUGGAAUCAGUCCCAGGUGUGAAGCAUGAUGGGAGAUGGAGUUCGAAACCAGUUAGUACUCGGGAGAGGGGUCCCUCCGAUGGCGAGAGGGAGGCGGUGCGGGAGCGUCCUUCGUAACAGAGCCCCCCCCCUGUGAGCGGCUCCUGACGCGAAGAGAUACGCGGCGCCGAGGUCUUCCGCGGGGACGAGGGGCCGGCUUCUCCGGGUGUGCGCGAUGAAACUCCUCCGUGAGUGUGGGGCCAAGGAUGUCCUUAGCGUCGGCCCAGGAUCGCUCCUCCGGACCGAACCCCUCCCAGUCCACCAGAUAUUGGAGGGUCUUGCCCCGGCGUCUGGAGUCGAGCAGCUCAUGCACACGGUAAGCCUCCUCGCCGUCGACCAGGAUGGCGGGGGGAGGUUGUGACGUGGAUCUCUCCUCCCGCGCUCCUCUCGGGCCAUCGGCAGGUUUUAGCAGGGAGACAUGGAAUGUAGGGGAAAUACGGUAGUUGGCGGGUAGGUCUAAUCGAAAGGAUACAGGGGUAAUUUGCUUCUUAAUUUGAAAUGGACCCUCAUACCUGG